rnacentral:ncRNA from 2 species
AGGGAAGGCGGUGUGAAGCCGCCGCGACCCCGUCACUGUAAUCGGGGACGAAACCCGCGAGUGAUGCCACUGGCCGAGCCGGCCGGGAAGGCGCGGGGAGUAGGACGAUCCGAGAGCCAGGAGACCU